rnacentral:rRNA from 1 species
UACGUAGGGUGCGAGCGUUGUCCGGAAUUAUUGGGCGUAAAGGGCGCGUAGGCGGCUUUGCAAGUGACGGGUGAAAUCCCUCGGCUUAACCGAGGAACUGCCUGUCAAACUGCAUGGCUUGAGACUGGGAGAGGUGAGUGGAAUUCCCAGUGUAGCGGUGAAAUGCGUAGAUAUUGGGAGGAACACCAGUGGCGAAGGCGGCUCACUGGACCGGUACUGACGCUGAUGCGCGAAAGCGUGGGGAGCAAACAGG